AUAGAGUCAAGUGAAUAAGUGCAUCAGGCGGAUGCCUUGGCGAUGAUAGGCGACGAAGGACGUGUAAGCCUGCGAAAAGCGCGGGGGAGCUGGCAAUAAAGCUAUGAUUCCGCGAUGUCCGAAUGGGGAAACCCACUGCAUUCUGUGCAGUAUCCUAAGUUGAAUACAUAGGCUUAGAGAAGCGAACCCGGAGAACUGAACCAUCUAAGUACCCGGAGGAAAAGAAAUCAACCGAGAUUCCGCAAGUAGUGGCGAGCGAACGCGGAGGAGCCUGUACGUAAUAACUGUCGAGAUAGAAGAACAAGCUGGGAAGCUUGACCAUAGCGGGCGACAGUCCCGUAUUCGAAAUCUCAACAGCGGUACUAAGCGUACGAAAAGUAGGGCGGGACACGUGAAAUCCUGUCUGAAUAUGGGGGGACCAUCCUCCAAGGCUAAAUACUCAUCAUCGACCGAUAGUGAACCAGUACCGUGAGGGAAAGGCGAAAAGAACCCCGGGAGGGGAGUGAAACAGAACCUGAAACCUGAUGCAUACAAACAGUGGGAGCGCCCUAGUGGUGUGACUGCGUACCUUUUGUAUAAUGGGUCAACGACUUACAUUCAGUAGCGAGCUUAACCGGAUAGGGGAGGCGUAGGGAAACCGAGUCUUAAUAGGGCGAUGAGUUGCUGGGUGUAGACCCGAAACCGAGUGAUCUAUCCAUGGCCAGGUUGAAGGUGCCGUAACAGGUACUGGAGGACCGAACCCACGCAUGUUGCAAAAUGCGGGGAUGAGCUGUGGGUAGGGGUGAAAGGCUAAACAAACUCGGAGAUAGCUGGUUCUCCCCGAAAACUAUUUAGGUAGUGCCUCGAGCAAGACACUGAUGGGGGUAAAGCACUGUUAUGGCUAGGGGGUUAUUACAACUUACCAACCCAUGGCAAACUCAGAAUACCAUCAAGUGGUUCCUCGGGAGACAGACAGCGGGUGCUAACGUCCGUUGUCAAGAGGGAAACAACCCAGACCGCCGGCUAAGGUCCCAAAUGAUAGAUUAAGUGGUAAACGAAGUGGGAAGGCACAGACAGCCAGGAUGUUGGCUUAGAAGCAGCCAUCAUUUAAAGAAAGCGUAAUAGCUCACUGGUCGAGUCGUCCUGCGCGGAAGAUGUAACGGGGCUCAAAUCUAUAACCGAAGCUGCGGAUGCCGGUUUACCGGCAUGGUAGGGGAGCGUUCUGUAGGCUGAUGAAGGUGCAUUGUAAAGUGUGCUGGAGGUAUCAGAAGUGCGAAUGUUGACAUGAGUAGCGAUAAAGCGGGUGAAAAGCCCGCUCGCCGAAAGCCCAAGGUUUCCUACGCAACGUUCAUCGGCGUAGGGUAAGUCGGCACCUAAGGCGAGGCAGAAAUGCGUAGUCGAUGGGAAACAGGUUAAUAUUCCUGUACUUGAUUCAAAUGCGAUGUGGGGACGGAGAAGGUUAGGUUGGCAAGCUGUUGGAAUAGCUUGUUUAAGCCGGUAGGUGGAAGACUUAGGCAAAUCCGGGUUUUCUUAACACCGAGAAGUGAUGACGAGUGUCUACGGACACGAAGCAACCGAUACCACGCUUCCAGGAAAAGCCACUAAGCUUCAGUUUGAAUCGAACCGUACCGCAAACCGACACAGGUGGGCAGGAUGAGAAUUCUAAGGCGCUUGAGAGAACUCGGGAGAAGGAACUCGGCAAAUUGAUACCGUAACUUCGGGAGAAGGUAUGCCCUCUAAGGUUAAGGACUUGCUCCGUAAGCCCCGGAGGGUCGCAGAGAAUAGGUGGCUGCGACUGUUUAUUAAAAACACAGCACUCUGCCAACACGAAAGUGGACGUAUAGGGUGUGACGCCUGCCCGGUGCCGGAAGGUUAAUUGAAGAUGUGCAAGCAUCGGAUCGAAGCCCCGGUAAACGGCGGCCGUAACUAUAACGGUCCUAAGGUAGCGAAAUUCCUUGUCGGGUAAGUUCCGACCCGCACGAAUGGCGUAACGAUGGCCACACUGUCUCCUCCCGAGACUCAGCGAAGUUGAAGUGGUUGUGAAGAUGCAAUCUACCCGCUGCUAGACGGAAAGACCCCGUGAACCUUUACUGUAGCUUUGCAUUGGACUUUGAAGUCACUUGUGUAGGAUAGGUGGGAGGCUUGGAAGCAGAGACGCCAGUCUCUGUGGAGUCGUCCUUGAAAUACCACCCUGGUGUCUUUGAGGUUCUAACCCAGACCCGUCAUCCGGGUCGGGGACCGUGCAUGGUAGGCAGUUUGACUGGGGCGGUCUCCUCCCAAAGCGUAACGGAGGAGUUCGAAGGUUACCUAGGUCCGGUCGGAAAUCGGACUGAUAGUGCAAUGGCAAAAGGUAGCUUAACUGCGAGACCGACAAGUCGGGCAGGUGCGAAAGCAGGACAUAGUGAUCCGGUGGUUCUGUAUGGAAGGGCCAUCGCUCAACGGAUAAAAGGUACUCCGGGGAUAACAGGCUGAUUCCGCCCAAGAGUUCAUAUCGACGGCGGAGUUUGGCACCUCGAUGUCGGCUCAUCACAUCCUGGGGCUGUAGUCGGUCCCAAGGGUAUGGCUGUUCGCCAUUUAAAGUGGUACGUGAGCUGGGUUUAAAACGUCGUGAGACAGUUUGGUCCCUAUCUGCAGUGGGCGUUGGAAGUUUGACGGGGGCUGCUCCUAGUACGAGAGGACCGGAGUGGACGAACCUCUGGUGUACCGGUUGUAACGCCAGUUGCAUAGCCGGGUAGCUAAGUUCGGAAGAGAUAAGCGCUGAAAGCAUCUAAGCGCGAAACUCGCCUGAAGAUGAGACUUCCCUUGCGGUUUAACCGCACUAAAGGGUCGUUCGAGACCAGGACGUUGAUAGGUGGGGUGUGGAAGCGCGGUAACGCGUGAAGCUAACCCAUACUAAUUGCCCGUGAGGCUUGACUCUAU
rnacentral:rRNA from 1 species